rnacentral:rRNA from 1 species
GUGCCAGCAGCCGCGGUAAUACGUAGGCAGCGAGCGUUGUUCGGAGUUACUGGGCGUAAAGGGUGUGUAGGCGGUCCUGUAAGUCUGGUGUGAAAUCUCCCGGCUCAACUGGGAGGGUGCGCCGGAAACUGCAGGGCUAGAGUGCGGGAUGGGAGAGUAGAAUUCCUGGUGUAGCGGUGAAAUGCGUAGAUAUCAGGAGGAAUACCUGUGGUGUAGACGGCUCUCUGGACCGCGACUGACGCUGAGACACGAAAGCGUGGGUAGCAAACAGGAUUAGAUACCCUUGUAGUCC